AAAAUCAGUAUAAUUUGCUGAAGAAGGUUGAAUGACUCCUACAUUUUUUAAGGCAGCUCUGAAAUGAAUGGCUUCAUUUAAUCACAAAAGAAGGAAUACCAGCAAGACCACCCAGGCCCCAGCUCCGGUUUUUCCUGAAGAAUUUGGCCGCAUCUCCCUUUUUGAAGGCAGAGUUUCAUCUUGGUUUUUGAAGGCGUCUCUCAUAAGAUGGCAUUUGAGCAGAGACCUGAGGAAGUGAAAGAUGGAGGGCUGAAGCUUCCAGUUAGAGGAACAAGCAAAGACCCCGAGCAGGAUCAGGAAAGUGUGGUAGAGACAUAAUCAAAGAUUCAGACAAAGAUAUAACUACAGAAUGCACAUGACGGUUUUGUUAAUACACCAAAAGGAAAAAAAUUAAAUAACGGACUCUCCCAAUAAAUUGUGACCAUCUAUAGUUUGGAAUAACAUGAAGAUUGUUAAAAACUAUGUUUACAAGAAUGGCAAUAACAGAGAAACACUUGCUAUAUAAUUUUCACAAUAACAAGGUGAAGAAAUAUUAUAUAUAUAUAUAAUAAAAUUCAAAUUUUUAAGAGAAAUUAAAAUGUAUAGAAAACAUUGGAAAAGGAUACACUUAAUAAUCUUUUUUUCAGCAUGGUAGAAUUGUGGGUGAUUUUUGUUCCCUUUAUAUUUUUUAAUACUUUGUACUUUUUAAUGACAAAUGUAUAUACUACCAUUUAAUGAUAAAAAUAUAUUUUUAAAAUACUGGAUAAGAAUUAUUCAAAUAAAUGCCUUAUUUAAAAGUUAAA
ensembl:lncRNA novel transcript